CCUACGGGAGGCAGCAGUAGGGAAUCUUUCACAAUGGGCGAAAGCCUGAUGGAGCAACGCCGCGUGCAGGAUGAAGGCCUUCGGGUUGUAAACUGCUUUUGUCGGGGAGCAAAAGCCGGACGUGUCCGGCUGUGAGAGUACCCGAAGAAAAAGCAUCGGCUAACUCCGUGCCAGCAGCCGCGGUAAUACGGAGGAUGCGAGCGUUAUCCGGAUUUAUUGGGUUUAAAGGGUGCGCAGGCGGAUUUUUAAGUCAGCGGUCAAAUCGUGGGGCUCAACCCCAUCCAGCCGUUGAAACUGGGGAUCUAGAGUGUGCGAGAGGUAUGCGGAAUGCGUGGUGUAGCGGUGAAAUGCAUAGAUAUCACGCAGAACCCCGAUUGCGAAGGCAGCAUACCGGUGCACAACUGACGCUCAGGCACGAAAGCGUGGGUAUCGAACAGGAUUAGAUACCCUAGUAGUC
rnacentral:rRNA from 1 species